GUGGGGAAUCUUAGACAAUGGGGGAAACCCUGAUCUAGCCAUGCCGCGUGAGCGAUGAAGGCCUUAGGGUUGUAAAGCUCUUUCAGCUGGGAAGAUAAUGACGGUACCAGCAGAAGAAGCCCCGGCUAACUCCGUGCCAGCAGCCGCGGUAAUACGGAGGGGGCUAGCGUUGUUCGGAAUUACUGGGCGUAAAGCGCACGUAGGCGGAUUGGAAAGUUGGGGGUGAAAUCCCGGGGCUCAACCCCGGAACUGCCUUCAAAACUCCCAGUCUUGAGUUCGAGAGAGGUGAGUGGAAUUCCGAGUGUAGAGGUGAAAUUCGUAGAUAUUCGGAGGAACACCAGUGGCGAAGGCGGCUCACUGGCUCGAUACUGACGCUGAGGUGCGAAAGCGUGGGGAGCAAACAGGAUUAGAAACCCUAGUAGUCC
rnacentral:rRNA from 1 species